GUAGGCAGCAAGCGUUGUUCGGAGUUACUGGGCGUAAAGGGUGUGUAGGCGGUUGUUUAAGUUUGGUGUGAAAUCUCCCGGCUCAACUGGGAGGGUGCGCCGAAUACUGAAUGACUCGAAUGCGGGAGAGGAAAGUGGAAUUCCUGGUGUAGCGGUGAAAUGCGUAGAUAUCAGGAGGAACACCGGUGGUGUAGACGGCUUUCUGGACCGUAACUGACGCUGAGACACGAAAGCGUGGGUAGCAAACAGGAUUAGAUACCCUGGUAGUCCACGCCCUAAACGAUGCAUAUUUGGUGUGGGCAGUUCAUUCUGUCCGUGCCGGAGCUAACGCGUUAAAUAUACCGCCUGGGGAGUACAGUCGCAAGGCUG
rnacentral:rRNA from 1 species